rnacentral:sRNA from 1 species
AGCAAAUAUUUAUUUCCCACAUAUUUUCCCUUUUCUUUCAGGCUCCAGUUUUGAAACCUGCGGAUUCCCCCGCUCAAACAUUGCUUGACUGCCAUGAAUUGGGUCGGUUUGUUUUCCUCUGGUUUCUCGAGCUGCUUCUUACAAAGGCCUUGCAGCAGGGCAGGGGGGGAGACGGGGGGAAGGGAAACCAGCUCUAUGGGGCAGCGCUGUUUUACAUGCGGGUUAGACACGGCUAGAGGCCAAGGUCAAGUUGAAUGUUGCAGUCUAGCCAAUGUGAGAACUGUCAUUUGCAGCCUGAAGACCC